GACGAACGCUGGCGGCGUGCUUAACACAUGCAAGUCGAACGGAAAGGCCCUGCUUUUGUUGGGUGCUCGAGUGGCGAACGGGUGAGUAACACGUGAGUAACCUGCCCUUGACUUUGGGAUAACUUCAGGAAACUGGGGCUAAUACCGGAUAGGAGCUCCUGCUGCAUGGUGGGGGUUGGAAAGUUUCGGCGGUUGGGGAUGGACUCGCGGCUUAUCCGCUUGUUGGUGGGGUAGUGGCUUACCAAGGCUUUGACGGGUAGCCGGCCUGAGAGGGUGACCGGCCACAUUGGGACUGAGAUACGGCCCAGACUCCUACGGGAGGCAGCAGUGGAGAAUAUUGCACAAUGGGCGGAAGCCUGAUGCAGCAACGCCGCGUGCGGGAUGACGGCCUUCGGGUUGUAAACCGCUUUCGCCUGUGACGAAGCGUGAGUGACGGUAAUGGGUAAAGAAGCACCGGCUAACUACGUG
rnacentral:rRNA from 1 species